rnacentral:rRNA from 1 species
UAUGGAAUCUUCGGCAAUGGGGGGAACCCUGACCGAGCAACGCCGCGUGAGUGAAGAAGGAUUUCGGUUCGUAAAACUCUGUUGUUAGAGAAGAACAGCGCAUAGAGUAACUGUUAUGCGUGUGACGGUAUCUAACCAGAAAGCCACGGCUAACUACGUGCCAGCAGCCGCGGUAAUACGUAGGUGGCAAGCGUUGUCCGGAUUUAUUGGGCGUAAAGCGAGCGCAGGCGGUCAAUUAAGUCUGAUGUGAAAGCCCCCGGCUCAACCGGGGAGGGUCAUUGGAAACUGGUUGACUUGAGUGCAGAAGAGGAGAGUGGAAUUCCAUGUGUAGCGGUGAAAUGCGUAGAUAUAUGGAGGAACACCAGUGGCGAAGGCGACUCUCUGGUCUGUAACUGACGCUGAGGCUCGAAAGCGUGGGUAGCAAACAGG